GUCAUUAAAAAUGGCUUGCCUCUGUACUUGUGGCCAAGGAAGGUUGGAUUAGAGGUGAAUGUAAUCUAUUGUUGGUAGUUUAAAUAACUUGCGUUGAUUGACCUUUUUAUUAUACUAUAUUUUAGGUGCACAAUUUAUGACGCUUCAAGAGCGAGAGGGAGAGAAAGAUGUCAGCAUUAGGCUAAGCCAUGGACCUUAAUACGUGUUUAAGCUGUUUUUGUUGUUGUUGUUGUUGUUUUUCCUCCAUUCUUUUAUUUGCGAAGUAGGACUUGCGUGAUGUGUUAACUUAUCCAUAUUUAAUGACUCAUCGUACAAAACCCUGAGUAUUACCCUUCACUUGAUGGUUGCGUGCCAGUAUUGAACCAUUUUAAGUAACCGCUUUACCAAAUAUACUUCAAUCAAAGCAUUUGUUUACUUAAUUCCAGGCCUGGCUUAUCUCAUUG